rnacentral:rRNA from 1 species
AACCAUCAAAUCAAGGCCGGAUGGAUGAAGUGGCGCCAAGCUUCUGGCAUUCUCUGUGACAAGAGAGUGCCACAAAAGCUAAAAGGCAAGUUCUACAGGACGGCGGUUCGACCCGCAAUGUUGUAUGGCGCUGACUGUUGGCCGACUAAAAGGCGACAUGUUCAACAGUUAGGUGUGGCGGAGAUGCGUAUGUUGAGAUGGAUGUGUGGCCACACGAGGAAGGAUCGAGUCCGGAAUGAUGAUAUACGAGAUAGAGUUGGGGUAGCACCAAUUGAAGAGAAGCUUGUCAAACAUCGUCUGAGAUGGUUUGGGCAUAUUCAGCGCAGGCCUCCA